UGGGGAAUUUUGGACAAUGGGCGCAAGCCUGAUCCAGCCAUGCCGCGUGCAGGAUGAAGGCCUUCGGGUUGUAAACUGCUUUUGUACGGAACGAAAAGGUGCCUUCUAAUAAAUGGCGCUCAUGACGGUACCGUAAGAAUAAGCACCGGCUAACUACGUGCCAGCAGCCGCGGUCAUACGUAGGGUGCGAGCGUUAAUCGGAAUUACUGGGCGUAAAGCGUGCGCAGGCGGUUUUGUGAGACAGAGGUGAAAUCCCCGGGCUCAACCUGGGAACUGCCUUGGUGACUGCAAGGCUGGAGUGCGGCAGAGGGGGAUGGAAUUCCGCGGGUAGCAGUGAAAUGCGUAGAUAUGCGGAGGAACACCGAUGGCGAAGGCAAUCCCCUGGGCCUGCACUGACGCUCAUGAACGAAAGCGUGGGG
rnacentral:rRNA from 1 species